CUAACUUGAUUUUUCUGUGUUUAGUCAGAUGCAUGCUCCAGUUCAGUGUCAUGGACUCGUGUUAUUGAUACCCACAGACAAAAAGUCAGGUGUCAAAAAAACUUUUCCAUUAAGAUAGAAAGUUGAUGCGUUGACAGCCACUCAAUUUUACAUAAGCGCUCAAGUUACGCAUUAAGGACGCUCACAAGUCAAGAGAUAUUAUAGGUGGUCGUGGUAAUUCUGAACACAGGCUAGCUAGUCAACUUACCACAAUAUAUACCCAUUGACAAUUUGGCAUGUCAUUGCCCUUUGCUUCAGACAUUCUAAAGUAGCUCCAGGCAUCAAAAUUUUGGAUAAAGAAAAGUGGAAAUGUUGCAUCAUCGUGGAAGUUGACGGUUGCAAAGGACACGCAUUCAUAUUGGUUUAGAAUUUAUUUCAGUACUUUCUUUCCAAUUGUCUGUACAAGGAAGCCAAGUAUAUGUCAUUGGGUACGUAUUUGGCAUACAAACAAUUUCAGGAUACCAGUUUGCUAAAUAAGCCUUGUCAAAGAAGGACGAAAUUUCGUUUUGUAAUUUGAAAGAGAUCUAGUGUAAGCUUCAGGCAACGUAAAAAAUUUCUUAGCUCGUCCCACAUGAGCUCGUUUAGUCAAAUUGUCGUAGUCGUUGUCUUCAAUUGCAUCUAGGAUCUUACGAUACAAUAUUAACGAGGACCAAAC
rnacentral:sRNA from 1 species